CAGCCCCGCCAGGCGCCCGCUUGCCGGCGCUGUGCCCCGCCUGAGCUCCGGGCCGCCUCUCCCGCCGCCCGACUUCGUGUCCCCACGGCUCCACGCGCCCCUCGUCACGGUCAGCUGCGGUUUCCGAGCCGCCCCCGAACCAAGCAGUUGACUUGCAGGCGUCCGCCAAGGCCUCCCCAAGGUGGCGCCACACCCAGGAUAGGCCCCCGGGCCCUCCGCAGCGCUGGCGCCGAGUUGAUGAUGUAAAAGGUUCAGGCUCGCGGGGCGGGGCUAUUGGACCUCACCACCGGACUCUAGUGGCUGCGGGAGCGUUUCUCUUUUCUCCUAGCGCCGCGGACGAGAUUUGUGGCGCCAGAAACACCCUGCGGAAGGAGCCGGGGAUAUCAACUAGUGAUAGAGGAGAGGAAACUGAGGCCACGGGCGGGUCCUACGAAAAGGGUUAAUAAAAUCAAUGUAAAUGAAUAUCAGUUCCCUUUUAUUCUUCACAAAAGAGCUGAGUGAGAACUGGAUGUUACUGUAGGGAUCGUGAGGAAAUGGAGGCCCAGAGGGGUUUUGGCAACCCUGAAAUAUUAAAAGGUCGGCAGUAACUCGGGAAACUCUCCAAUCUCUAUGUCUUCUCCUUCAGGUUGUUAUUUUUGCCUGAGAAAUGUGGACUGGGAACAAAAUCAAGGAGUGGAAGAGUCAGAACCUUGUAACUCAGUGAGAGAGACACCAAACUAGCUAGACUAAGCAUUGGGAGCCAGUAAUGUCACCAGCAUUACUCCCUGAGGAAGCAGUUACCUAGCACAGUACCUAGCCUAUGAUAAGUGCUACUUAAGACUUCCUGAAACAAAGAAUAGAUAAAUGAAUGGAAAAAAGUUGGCUUGGGCAGUUCCCAAAUCUUGUCAGAGAAGCAGUGAACCGAAGGCUAUGAAUUUGUUCAGUCUGAACUGCUGGAGGGAGACUCUUGGCGCUGGGAUGUACAAGGAAUCCUGUUUCCCAAAGUAGAUGCAAGUGCCAUGAGGACAGGGACAGACGUUUCAGUUGACCUGGUGCCACCGCGCACCACCUUAAGCCUAAGAAGCUGCAGAGAAGAUGGGAGAACAGGGGCGAGCUCAAAGCUCUGCCCUUUGCUGCUCGGUUCACGUGUAAUGGCACUGUUGCUGCUGCUCAUCAUCAAAGCUAAAAUACAGAAUCAUUUCUUGAAGCAACGUCAACUGGAAUAUCCCAUUACUGCUGACUGGUCAUAAAAUCCUUGUCUCCUCAAUGAGCCAUUGGAGCUUCCCUGGUGGCACAGUGGUUAAGAAUCCGCCUGCCAGUGCAGGAGACAUGGGUUCAAGCCCUGAUCCAGGAUGAUCCCACAUGCCACGGAGCAACUAAGCCCGUGCGCCACAACUACUGAGCCUGCGCUCUAGAGCCCGCAAGCCACAACUACUGAAGCCCACAUGACUAGAGCCCGUGCUUCACAACAAGAGAAGCCACCACAAUGAGAAGCCCACGCACCACAACAAAGAGUAGCCCCCACUUGCUGCAACCAGAGAAAAGCCCACGUGCAGCAACAAAGACCCAACACAGCCAAAAAUAAAAUAAUUUUUUUAAAAAAAUUAAAAAUAAAUAAAUUACAGCCAUCCUAGUGGGUGUGCCAUAGGUGCUAAGCUUUUAAGACCAGUGUUUACAUAGAUGUGGGCCCUCAGCUCUGGUCUCCUGCUCUUGUUACAGCUUGGUAAGGAGCCCCAGUCAUCCAUCUGCUUGCCCAAGAACAGCUGCAUGGGCAUAUGCACCGGAGGGAAGUUUCAUCUGGAGGAGAGGGGGAAGGACAUCUCCAUCUGCUAUACCACACCCUGACCCAGGAGGAACUAAGCCCGGCACCCCAAUUCUGGGAUGUGAGUAGUGGAUUCCAGAAGACCCUGGCUUGGGGAUCUCUACCUGGGUUGCGAGAGGCUGCUGGGAGGCACUUACCACACGGUGCCAGCCUGGAGGGCUUGGGACAGAUAAUUGGCCUUGUCCAAGUCCUUUGUGAAGACAGCUGCAGCCAGCCCGUACUUGGAAUUGUUGGCUCUCCCAACGACUUCCUCUAUGGUCUUGAACUUCAGAAUCUGCAUCACUGGCCCAAAGAUCUGGGGUUAGAGAGCACAAUGGGUGGGUGGGGCAGACACGGAACCACCUGUUACCCAGCUUUCCACAGCACUGAGCAGAUGAUUCCAGAUGUGGUAGCAAGCCUCCAGACACACCCUAACAGUUCCAGAGGGAGAAGACAGCUCUCACACUCACUGGAAUACAAAGGGAAGGAAGCUAAGGGGACUGGUUACCUUCUGUGUGCCAUGGACCUUACAUACCUUAUCUUAUUUCUAAACAGUCCUGUGAGGUAGGGGCUUGCACUGACAGGUCACGUGGAAAUUUAGUUUCAAAGAAUUUCAGUCAGUCAUUCAACAAGGCACACACUAGAUGCUGAAGAAAAAGCUAUGAACAAAAUAGGGUCUCUGAUCUCAAGAUGUUCUGAGUUUAUCUUAUACCUUCCCUGCCCUAUUUCUGAGCCAUUUCUUCAAGGCAUCCUGGUUCCUUUUAGUGGGCUUUAGUGGGCUUCAGAAACCAAAACAUGGGAGCUAGGCGUGCUUGUUGCGGUUGGGGUGUGGCUGCUCUCAGCCCUAUCAGGGGAGAGACCCCGGGGAACAGAUCCUGAUGUAAUCAAGUGAUUGGCAUGUGACUGUGACAAGUGGUGGGAGCCCAGAGGAGCUACUUGGCCUGAGUGAUGGGAGGCAGGGGAUCAGGGAAGGCCUCGAGAGGUGACAGUCAAGCUGUGACACCACACGAGCAGAAACUGGCCAAACCAGAGUGAGGAUGAGGAGCAGGGAGGAGGGAAAUGGAGUUCCAGUCACCGGCACACGCAGCACCCAUUCUUACAACAUCCCAUUCUCGACUAAAGAAACUAGGACUUCUUGAAGAAAUCACUGAUUCUAGGACUGGGUGGAGAGUGUCAAGACGGAGGUGCGAGAAGACUGCCAGGAGCCCAUCAUGGUUGGAGCGAGGACUGCGAGACGGGGCAUCUUGCACUUCGGGCACUAGCAAAGCAAAGGCAGCCCCUGCCCUUCUAGAAAAUGGAUAUUUUCCAUUUCCAUCAAGAUUAAAAAAAAAAAAUAGCAUCGAAGUAGUCAUGAUGGGAAAAGAGGCAGAACUCUGUUGUACUCUCUUACCCUGAUUUUGCAUUUUAAUAUUAUUUUAUUUUGAAUUAUCCAUGAAAGGGGGUGGCAGUAUAAUGUUUUCCCUGCAUAGGGACGCUAAAGGGCUUCAUCCUGCUGGGGGAAGUGGAGUGAGUCUGAAUCCACAAGGGCAGAGUACACAUGUCGGAUACCCCUGGAUCUCCAGUGUCUGUAGAGCACCUUGCACAUAGUAGGAAUUCAAAAAUUAUUUGUGGUAAGGGAUAUGGAGAUAUAUAUAUACGUAUAGCUGAUUUACUUUGUUAUAGAGCAGAAACUAACACACCAUUGUAAAGCAAUUAUACUCCAAUAAAGAUGUUAAAAAAAAAAUUUUGUGAAAUGAACGAAUGAAUGAGAUGGAGUUGCUGCCCUACGUUCGUAAUCAGUGCCAAGGGGGAGAGAAGAUCAAGGGACUCUCGCCAUGUGGGGAAGUCAGCCCUUUGAUCUAGUCCAGUGUCUGCUUACACGAAGGCCAUGAGAAGGGCUGGGAAGAGUCAUUCCUUUAACUCACAGCUCGCAGGGAGCAGAACACAAAGGACCUGUAGGCUCUGCUGGGGAAUUCAGACGUUCUCCCCAACCACUGGCAGCCAUAAGAGACUGAAGAGGAGAGGCACAAGAUCAGAAGUGAAUUGCAAAUCAUUUGUCUUAUGCAUAGAGCCAGGAUUUGGCCCAAGGCCAGCG